AACGAACGUUGGCGGCGUGGAUUAGGCAUGCAAGUCGAACGCGAAAGGGUAGCAAUACCCGAGUAAAGUGGCGAACGGGUGAGUAACGCGUAGGAAACCUGCCUUCGAGUGGGGGAUAACAUUCCUAACGGGGUGCUAAUACCGCAUGAAACUGCGGGAUCGCAUGGUUCUGCAGUCAAAGGUGGCCUCUAUUUAUAAGCUACCGCUCAAAGAUGGUCCUGCGUCCCAUUAGCUAGUGGCGGGGUAACGGCCCACCAAGGCAUCGAUGGGUAGCCGAUCUGAGAGGAUGACCGGCCACACUGGGACUGAGAUACGGCCCAGACUCCUACGGGAGGCAGCAGUCGAGAGGCUUCGGCAAUGGGGGAAACCCUGACCGAGCGACGCCGCGUGGAGGAUGAAGGCCCUUGGGUUGUAAACUCCUGUCAUGUGGGAAG
rnacentral:rRNA from 1 species